CCUUAUUCGGAAAAUUACGUUAACCAGAAUACUGACCCAAAUCGGAAUAUGGUGUGCCUGUAAACAAACUCAUUCACAAUUACAUAU